UUUUUUGUUUGUUUCUCCCUUAAAUGCCCGUGAAGCUACAGUCUUCAUUAAAACGUGGAAGGUUCGCUGUGAUGAUGUUUUUCCUGCCAUUCGUAGUUUCCACCAGAGGUUUAAACACCGAAGAUGGUUCAAGUCUUCCUUGGAUGUCUGAGCGAACAUUAGAGGAUUGUAGCUCUACUUUUGAAUGUCUUUGUUCUAAGAACUAAAUUGUAUUCUCCCUUUCAGGGAGAUAAUUGCCGCGGAUACGAGGCUACUCUGUGGAUUCUCCAGGCUGUUAAAGCUGGCCGGACGUCAACAUUGAUGGACCUGCAAUCAAACAUGAGUCAGCUGUGUAGGGUUUUUUUUUUGUUUGUUUUGUAGGUUGAAGUUUGAAAGAUGGCUGUCAUCUAAUCUUAAAAAUAAAAUGAAUCUUAAACAGAAAACAAGCUAGCAGUUUUGUGAGUGUAAAUGAGAUGUUUUUAGUUCUGAAAUAACUGAUUUUUGCUUUCCAUACAUGCUGGCAAAGACAGACUAUGUGUUUAGCUUUUUGUAUUUUUACUUGUACAUAAUUUUUAAAGUAAUAAAGAUCCAAUAGGUGUGGAAAAA